AAAAAUUAUAUAUAUAUACAUCUGUAUUUUUUCGCUACAUCGCAUCAAGUACAAAAUAUUUAAUGUUGGCAAUGCCGACAAUAUUUGCGAAGCCAUUUCGACCAAAAUAAAGCGAAAACGAAGGGUGCGAUAUAUAUAAAAAAAUUUGGCUAAAUUUGUUUUCGGAAGAAGAUAUCCUCGAUCGCCUCAAGCACAAAAAAUAAAAAUGGGUAUUAACAUUGACGACUUUCUAGAAGACCAAACUACACUUAAAAAUUUUGAGUGCUGCAUAUGCCUCGACGGCUAUGAAAACCCAUCUACAAUAAAAGUUUGCGGCCAUACAUUUUGUAAGGCAUGUAUAGUGGAAUGGAGAGAGAACCACAAUUCUUGCCCAGUGUGUCGUACUGCAUUUAAUUUGAUGCACUUAAAAAAUUUUAGAGGCAAGCGGUACAACGCUUACCUAAGUUUUAAAAUAAAGUGCGAGAAUGAGGGAUGUAAGACUGUCGUAACUGUUGGUGGUCGAAAAGCUCAUCUUAAGCGGUGUCGCUUUAAGCCCAAGCCCGAAGACUAGUUGAUGCAUUAUAAAAAUUUUUUAAAAUUGAAUCUACCGAAGAAGAAAAGAAUUU